rnacentral:lncRNA from 1 species
UUUUUUAUCUCCCACUCUUCAGACUAACAUCAGAACUGGUCUGGCCUAUCAAAAACCUGCUAAGGUUCUCAUGAGAAAGCCACACAGAGGAUUUUGGGAACUGUUCUGCCUAUGCUUCCUGGGAUUUUUAAAAUUAGAAGAACAUGUACUUUCCCAGCCAUCUUGGCCACAGCCUAGUUUCCUGCUUCAGGUUGAAAAGGACUAACUGACAAUGAAAGUGGCUUUAGUCUAACACUGAAUAGACAGCUAUCAGACAUGUAUCUUUCUGGAAAUGAUCAAUAUACAAGGUAAUGCAGUCAGUCUUCCUAAAUGCAAAAAGAUAAAACGGAAGGAACAAAAAGGAAAGGAAAAGGAAAAGAAGGAAGGAAGAAAGAAAGGAAGGAAGGAAGGAGGAAAGAAAGAUGGAAAGGAGAAAGGAAGGAUGGGAGAAGGGAAGGAAGGAG